AGUGAACGCUGGCGGUAGGCCUAACACAUGCAAGUCGAACGGCAGCACAGUAAGAGCUUGCUCUUAUGGGUGGCGAGUGGCGGACGGGUGAGGAAUACAUCGGAAUCUACUUUUUCGUGGGGGAUAACGUAGGGAAACUUACGCUCAUACCGCAUACGACCUACGGGUGAAAGCAGGGGAUCUUCGGACCUUGCGCGAUUGAAUGAGCCGAUGUCGGAUUAGCUAGUUGGCGGGGUAAAGGCCAACCAAGGCGACGAUCCGUAGCUGGUCUGAGUGGAUGAUCAGCCGCACUGGAACUGAGACACGGUCCAGACGCCUACGGGAGGCAGCAGUGGGGAAUAUUGGACAAUGGGCGCAAGCCUGAUCCAGCCAUACCGCGUGGGUGAAGAAGGCCUUCGGGUUGGAAAGCCCUUUUGUGGGGAAAGAAAAGCAGCAGGUUAAUACCCCGCUGUUCUGACGGUACCCAAAGAAUAAGCACCGGCUAACUUCGUG
rnacentral:rRNA from 1 species